rnacentral:rRNA from 1 species
UACGUAGGGUGCAAGCGUUGUCCGGAAUUAUUGGGCGUAAAGAGCUCGUAGGCGGUCUGUCGCGUCUACUGUGAAAACUCAGGGCUUAACCCUGAGCUUGCAGUGGGUACGGGCAGACUAGAGUGCGGUAGGGGAGACUGGAAUUCCUGGUGUAGCGGUGAAAUGCGCAGAUAUCAGGAGGAACACCGGUGGCGAAGGCGGGUCUCUGGGCCGUAACUGACGCUGAGGAGCGAAGGCAUGGGGAGCGAACAGG